rnacentral:snoRNA from 1 species
UCUUAGGGAGUCUUGUAACCAAUAAAGAAAAGUUGAAAUCGUUGGAAACACCUCAUAGAGUAAAUAUGUUGCUUCCUUUAUUCACAGAACUGUGUGUUAGAUCUGUGGAAAGGAAUUACAAGACAGCU